CUAAAAUAUUUUAUAUUUGGAGUUAGAAAAACCCCCUUCUUCAAAUUAAAAAAAAAAAAGUGGGGCAAAGGAAAUAUCCUUUUAAAACUCAAGCAUACUGGGUGUUUGCCUUGUAUCCUGUCAGAGGAAACAAAU